UCGCGGCUUAUCACCGGCAGUCCCCUUAGAGUGCCCAACUAAAUGAUGGCAACUAAGGGCGAGGGUUGCGCUCGUUGCGGGACUUAACCCAACACCUCACGACACGAGCUGACGACAGCCAUGCAGCACCUGUCUUGGGGCUCCCGAAGGCACCCUCUCGUUUCCGAGAGGUUCCCCAGAUGUCAAACCCAGGUAAGGUUCUUCGCGUUGCUUCGAAUUGAACCACAUGCUCCACCGCUUGUGCGGGCCCCCGUCAAUUCCUUUGAGUUUUAAUCUUGCGACCGUACUCCCCAGGCGGGAUGCUUAAUGCGUUAGCUGCGCCACUGACGAGUAAACCCGCCAACGGCUAGCAUCCAUCGUUUACGGCGUGGACUAC
rnacentral:misc_RNA from 1 species